rfam:Oryza rufipogon genomic scaffold, chr01
AAAAAGAUAAACUAUGGAUUCUUAUGCCAAUGUUUGACUAUCCGUCUUAUAUGAAAUUUUUUUAUAAUUAAUAUUUUUAUGGUUGUUAGAUGAUAAAACAUGAUUAAUACUUUAUACUUGACUUAUCUUUUUAUUUUUUUUUAUAAUUUUUUCAAAUAAGACGAACGGUCAAACGUUGGACAUGGGAAUCAGGUUUGUCUUUUUU